rnacentral:tRNA from 1 species
GGGGGAUUAGCUCAGUUGGCAGAGCGGCGGCUUUGCAAGCCGUAGGUCGCGGGUUCGAAUCCCGCAUCCUCCACCA